ensembl:ncRNA T22D1.21 ncRNA
CGAGAAGCAGUCUCACCAACUGAGAAACGCGGAGCCGCCAGAGAAGUUACCGCCAAAGCGGUGAAGAGUAGUGUUAAUUGGAAAGUUCUCAUUGUGAAUUCAAUGAGUGAU